rnacentral:lncRNA from 1 species
GUGAACCCAUGAAUUGGAUUUGAUUAGAUCAAACUCGAAACCUAUUGUAGAGGCACCAUUAAGGAGAUCAGAUGGAGUACUGCAUCUGUCAGAUGGUAUUUUGAUUUCUAGUUCUGAGACGUGAUCCUGUUGAACUUGAUGAGGACAACAAGAAUUUGAUCACCUACAUAGAUACCAUGCAAAGGUUCGACUCUAAUUAAUGGCUUGGAGCCAUAGAUCC